GUUAAUCAAAUUUUUUUUUCAAAAAGAUUGGAACGAUACAAAGAAGAUUAGCAUGGUCCAUGUGCAAGGAUGGCAUGCACAAAUCGAGAUAUGAUCCAAAUUUUA